UCUAAGUUAAACUACCCUCUG
rnacentral:tRNA from 2 species